UAGGGAAUCUUCCACAAUGGACGCAAGUCUGAUGGAGCAACGCCGCGUGAGUGAAGAAGGUUUUCGGACCGUAAAGCUCUGUUGUUGGUGAAGAAGGAUAGAGGUAGUAACUGGCCUUUAUUUGACGGUAAUCAACCAGAAAGUCACGGCUAACUACGUGCCAGCAGCCGCGGUAAUACGUAGGUGGCAAGCGUUGUCCGGAUUUAUUGGGCGUAAAGCGAGCGCAGGCGGAAGAAUAAGUCUGAUGUGAAAGCCCUCGGCUUAACCGAGGAAUUGCAUCGGAAACUGUUUUCUUGAGUGCAGAAGAGGAGAGUAGAACUCCAUGUGUAGCGGUGGAAUACGUAGAUAUAUGGAAGAAUACCAGUGGCGAAGGCGGCUCUCUGGUCUGCAACUGACGCUGAGGCUCGAAAGCAUGGGUAGCGAACAGGAUUAGAUACCCUGGUAGUCCAUGCCGUAAACGAUGAAUGCUAAGUGUUGGGAGGCUUCCGCCUCUCAGUGCUGCAGCUAACGCAUUAAGCACUCCGCCUGGGGGAGUACGACCGCAAGGUUGAAAC
rnacentral:rRNA from 1 species